rfam:Necator americanus N_americanus-1.0_Cont135592.1, whole genome shotgun sequence.
AUCUCUGGCUCCUCUGCAUUUAACCGAGAAAAUCUUUCGCCUUUUACUAAAGAUUUCCGUGCAUAGGUGCAUUUUAUGAGUAUACGCGAAUUUUUGGAUUCCCCUCGAAAGAGCGGGAU